rnacentral:lncRNA from 1 species
GAUGUCAUCUGAUGGGUCUAUUUUAUCUACUUGGCUGUGCAAAUCCUCUUCUGUAGUAUAUGCUUUCUGGUGGACACUAAUAUGGAACACAAAGAUCUUCUCACAUUGCAGCUGCUCCCAUAUAUCCAUUGAUAUAUGCCUCUAACUCCAGACCUUUUUGUCCUUAAUCUUCUAAUCCGGUUAUCUCUUUUCCUUUAGUGCAAUUUUUCCUUAUUUGUUUGUUUUGUUUUUUUUUUUAAGUAAAUAGCUAGGCUUCUAAGCCCUACCACAGAGAGUCAACAGACAAACUGCCCAGGGAAAAGUUAUGACCUCAGGCAAAGUGAAUUUCUACAGCUAAGGCAGAUCCUGAAGAAGCUCACAAAUAAAGGCUGCAUACUCACACAUUCCCUGAAGCUUGACAGUGCCAGCCACCAUACUGUGAGGGAGCUGAAGUAAGCCCACAUGAGGAAGAAUUGAGGUCCCAAGCCAACAGCUGCAGCUAAGAUCCAAGCUCUCAACCAGUACCAGUUCAUCCGUUAUGCACACUAAGAUAUGGAAGCUAAAAGAGGACUAAGAGGAUUCUGGGGAUAUUACAAGAUAUUGCAGACUAUCUUGUUUUCCUGGAAAAGGAUUUUACCUCAGUCGACUGAAUUACUUUUUUCACUGUGUCUUGCCACUCUUCGUGCAUGCAUCAAAGACCCUAAUAUGACUUCUGGUGGCCUGGGACUCCUUGGGAAAACAGAAAAGGGGCCACAAAUCCCAUUUUGGGAACAAUCUGUUUUACUCAUGGAACCCCUGGAAUUAGAGGUGUGUAAGUACCUCUCAAAAUCUGUCUUUGUCUUCUGGCUAUGCUUUUUAUGAGGCCCUGGAAUUUGUAGUCCUAGCCCUGUUCUUAGAGUGUCUCACUAGGAGGCGUAAUAAUCCAAUUAGGAAACUAGCCAAUGAAAAAUCUCAUAACUACUGGAUCUUCUUCUGUUUAUCUGUGUGGUUACAUAUGUGUUAUGUGUGUAAUAUCUAUUAAAAAGGGCUCUAAUUAAUUGGCCUAAGAACAGUAAGCACUUAAAUAAAAUAUUUUUAAGGGAAAAGUAAAA